UUAGCGGAUGACCUGUGGCUGGGGGUGAAAGGCCAAUCAAACCGGGAGAUAGCUGGUUCUCCCCGAAAGCUAUUUAGGUAGCGCCUCGUGAAUUCAUCUCCGGGGGUAGAGCACUGUUUCGGCUAGGGGGCCAUCCCGGCUUACCAACCCGAUGCAAACUGCGAAUACCGGAGAAUGUUAUCACGGGAGACACACGGCGGGUGCUAACGUCCGUCGUGAAGAGGGAAACAACCCAGACCGCCAGCUAAGGUCCCAAAGUCAUGGUUAAGUGGGAAACGAUGUGGGAAGGCCCAGACAGCCAGGAUGUUGGCUUAGAAGCAGCCAUCAUUUAAAGAAAGCGUAAUAGCUCACUGGUCGAGUCGGCCUGCGCGGAAGAUGUAACGGGGCUAAACCAUGCACCGAAGCUGCGGCAGCGAACGUAUCACCCAAGACAACUUUACGGAGUUGACGAUUGACGGAGCGAAGCGACGUCAAAGCGUUCAUUAAAGUCGAGUUGGCUUAGGGAUACGUUCGUUGGGUAGGGGAGCGUUCUGUAAGCCUGUGAAGGUGUGUCGUGAGGCAUGCUGGAGGUAUCAGAAGUGCGAAUGCUGACAUAAGUAACGAUAAAGCGGGUGAAAAGCCCGCUCGCCGGAAGACCAAGGGUUCCUGUCCAACGUUAAUCGGGGCAGGGUGAGUCGACCCCUAAGGCGAGGCCGAAAGGCGUAGUCGAUGGGAAACGGGUUAAUAUUCCCGUACUUGGUGUUACUGCGAAGGGGGGACGGAGAAGGCUAUGUUGGCCGGGCGACGGUUGUCCCGGUUUAAGCGUGUAGGUGUGUGUUCCAGGUAAAUCCGGUUCACUUUAACACUGAGGCGUGACGACGAGGCACUACGGUGCUGAAGCAACAAAUGCCCUGCUUCCAGGAAAAGCCUCUAAGCAUCAGGUAACACGAAAUCGUACCCCAAACCGACACAGGUGGUCAGGUAGAGAAUACCAAGGCGCUUGAGAGAACUCGGGUGAAGGAACUAGGCAAAAUGGUGCCGUAACUUCGGGAGAAGGCACGCUGACACGUAGGUGAAGUGAUUUACUCAUGGAGCUGAAGUCAGUCGAAGAUACCAGCUGGCUGCAACUGUUUAUUAAAAACACAGCACUGUGCAAACACGAAAGUGGACGUAUACGGUGUGACGCCUGCCCGGUGCCGGAAGGUUAAUUGAUGGGGUCAGCGUAAGCGAAGCUCCUGAUCGAAGCCCCGGUAAACGGCGGCCGUAACUAUAACGGUCCUAAGGUAGCGAAAUUCCUUGUCGGGUAAGUUCCGACCUGCACGAAUGGCGUAAUGAUGGCCAGGCUGUCUCCACCCGAGACUCAGUGAAAUUGAACUCGCUGUGAAGAUGCAGUGUACCCGCGGCAAGACGGAAAGACCCCGUGAACCUUUACUAUAGCUUGACACUGAACAUUGAGCCUUGAUGUGUAGGAUAGGUGGGAGGCUUUGAAGUGUGGACGCCAGUCUGCAUGGAGCCGACCUUGAAAUACCACCCUUUAAUGUUUGAUGUUCUAACGUGGACCCGUAAUCCGGGUUGCGGACAGUGUCUGGUGGGUAGUUUGACUGGGGCGGUCUCCUCCUAAAGAGUAACGGAGGAGCACGAAGGUUGGCUAAUCCUGGUCGGACAUCAGGAGGUUAGUGCAAUGGCAUAAGCCAGCUUGACUGCGAGCGUGACGGCGCGAGCAGGUGCGAAAGCAGGUCAUAGUGAUCCGGUGGUUCUGAAUGGAAGGGCCAUCGCUCAACGGAUAAAAGGUACUCCGGGGAUAACAGGCUGAUACCGCCCAAGAGUUCAUAUCGACGGCGGUGUUUGGCACCUCGAUGUCGGCUCAUCACAUCCUGGGGCUGAAGUAGGUCCCAAGGGUAUGGCUGUUCGCCAUUUAAAGUGGUACGCGAGCUGGGUUUAGAACGUCGUGAGACAGUUCGGUCCCUAUCUGCCGUGGGCGCUGGAGAACUGAGGGGGGCUGCUCCUAGUACGAGAGGACCGGAGUGGACGCAUCACUGGUGUUCGGGUUGUCAUGCCAAUGGCACUGCCCGGUAGCUAAAUGCGGAAGAGAUAAGUGCUGAAAGCAUCUAAGCACGAAACUUGCCCCGA
rnacentral:rRNA from 1 species